UACGUAGGGUGCGAGCGUUGUCCGGAAUUAUUGGGCGUAAAGGGCUCGUAGGCGGUUUGUCGCGUCGGGAGUGAAAACCUUGGGCUUAACUCAGGGCUUGCUUUCGAUACGGGCAGACUAGAGGUAUGCAGGGGAGAACGGAAUUCCUGGUGUAGCGGUGAAAUGCGCAGAUAUCAGGAGGAACACCAAUGGCGAAGGCAGCUCGCUGGGACGGUACUGACGCUGAGACGCGAAAGCGUGGGGAGCAAACAGG
rnacentral:rRNA from 1 species